UCCACGCCUCACGCCGCCGCUCUGCAGUCCACCGACACCGCCGCCGCCGCCGCUCUCCUCUAAACUCUGCCGGCGCUUAUCUCCGCUAACGUCGCCGCCGCCGCUGCCGCUGCUCUGCUCUGAACGCUGUUGCUCCGCACUCAACCGCCACCGCCGCUGCUCUGCUUUGAACUUCGCCGUUUCUUUCCACAGAGAGAUACAUCACAUGCUUUUACUGUCCUAGAAGAGCUUAUCAAGGUCUACACUUUAGCAUUGUUGCUAAAGAAAAAAGAAUAAGCUAAAGAUAAGUUAAGAGAAGCGUUAUUACAAAGGAGCAUUUUAGGGUGUGGAUGGUGGUUAGGCUUAGGCUUGGGAUGGAGCCUUGUUGGCUUCACCGACCCAACUUGAUGUGAGGUGAGGUGAUUUUGUGCUUUGAUUGUGAAAGCUAGUUAGUUAAGAGUUUGUAGUACAGUAAGAAUUAUGGAGGGACAAGUGAGCAAGUGGACCGCAAACUUGAAGAGAUGGAAGAAAAAUUCAAUGAUGAGUGCGAGAAGAGAAUGAAAUUAGAGGAAGAUAUGACGAUUCUAAAUGAGAGGAUGGACCAGUUCAUGUCCCAUAGUCGGCUAUAACUCCCAUUGUUCAGUCUCGUAGUCAUGAUUCUGAAGAAUUAUGAGUUUGGCCACUAUUUUGUAAUUCACUAUCACCUUUAUUUCAAAGUCAUGACAAUAUCGAACUUCAUGUAAUUUGCAAAAUACUUUUUAAUAUAUCUACUAGUAUUAGUUUUUGCUACAAA